AUGCUUCAGUCCAUGGGGUUUCAAAGAGUUGCACAUGACUUAGCAACUAAACAACAACACACUUUACAUGGUCAGUGGGCAGACACGUGGACUCCUGCUUGGAUGUGGAUUUCCAGGGACCACUCGGCGUUCUUGGUACCAGGAAUCGGAACCACCAGUCUGGCUGUCACAGCCAAGUUUGGCCAGCCUGGCUUUAGCUCUGAGAUUGAUACUAUGUCAGAAGCUGAAUAUAUGGAUGUCUUUGUGACUCUCAGAUGUCAGAUGACAAAGUGCCACACGAGCUUUGAUUUUCAUACCAACCCAGGGAGUCCCAGCUUCGGCCAGGGUCCCUCCUCUCCCCCUUGGCACUCCGUCUGUGGUCCUUUCUUACAGCAGCCCUGAGAAACGCAUGUCUUCUCCUUUCCAGUGCUUCCAUGCCUUGUCCUGAGAUUCGCUCCGUCUGGUUUGACCUGGACUGUGUCUACUUCUGUGGCCACGGGGGUGGAUGGGGGCAGCUCUGGCUCACAGGCCCACUCACAGAGCUGGACGGAACCCGUGCUAGACUACGCGCAUGUGCCAAGAGUGGGCAAAAGGUAGUUCUUCUCGGAAAGAUCAAAGUGCUACCACCACAGCGAGGGGGGCAGGCAAAAAUAAAAGAUGUCUGCUACAGAGGAGCUCA
rnacentral:lncRNA from 1 species